rnacentral:tRNA from 1 species
GCCUGAGUGGCUCAGUCGGUUAAGCAUCUGACUUCAGCUCAGGUCACGAUUACAGUUUGUGAGUUCGAGCCUUGCGUUGGGCU